rnacentral:rRNA from 1 species
CCUACGGGUGGCAGCAGUCGGGAAUAUUGCGCAAUGGAGGAAACUCUGACGCAGUGACGCCGCGUGCAGGAAGAAGGUUUUCGGAUUGUAAACUGCUUUAGACAGGGAAGAAAAAAGACAGUACCAGUAGAAUAAGCUCCGGCUAACUACGUGCCAGCAGCCGCGGUAAUACGUAGGGGGCAAGCGUUAUCCGGAUGUAUUGGGUGUAAAGGGUGGGUAGACGGAGAAGCAAGUUAGUUGUGAAAUCCCUCGGCUUAACUGAGGAACUGCAACUAAAACUACUUCCUUUGAGUACGGGAGAGGAAAGUGGAAUUCCUGGUGUAGCGGUGAAAUGCGUAGAGAUUAGGAGGAACACUAGUUGCGAAGGCGACCUGCUGGACAGUAACUGACGUUGAGGCACGAAAGUGUGGGGAGCAAACAGGAUUAGAUACCCGGGUAGUC